GUGAUAGCUGGUUCUCUGCGAAAUGCAUUGCAGUGCAGCGUCAAUAUAGAGCUUAUAGUAGGUACAGCACUGAUUGACAUGCCCGCUAUUUCUAUUUAACGAUAGAACAUAAACGGCCGACUAGGGGGGUGUGAAAGCCCUAUCUAGGUCAGUUAACCUCGGAAUGAUUAUAAGUAUUCAUUGGCAGUGAGUCGUAGGGUGAUAAGGUCUUAUGACGAGAGGGAAACAGCCCAAA
rnacentral:rRNA from 1 species